ensembl:lncRNA
CUAAAAUUACACCCGUGCUUCCCCUCCUUCAUCAGCUGAUUCAUCUCAGUCUUCAAGAACAGAAGCAGGAGCACAUCUGUAUGUGACACAAUAAAAUGCAGAAAUUGAGACUACUGGUAGAAGGUGAUUUUGGGGUAAUUACUGUUUGCCUUUAGCCCACUCCGUGGAGAUGAAUGAGUUUGUUACUAACCAAACGUUCCUCAGGAUUAUGUGUAGGCCUGCAUUCCUUGCACGGCUCGUGAGAUGAGUUUUGGAUGACACAAAGGGUUACUGGGACGAGAAAGCAUCUUAACAGGAAGCCUGCUGCAGCGUGCCACGGCUCUCAAACAAAAGAGACAACUUCCUUUUCAGCAGGGGAAGAAAUUCAUUCAGGACUUCUGAAAUUUUCAGCGUGGGCAACUAGGGCUUAACUCACACGGUGAAGAUGAAGAGUGCACCAGGAGCCGACAGCACGAGAUGUCUUAGAUAAAGUUCUGUGACCAGGGCUGGCAACACACCAACCUAAUUCAGCUAAGAGACAUACCCAAUAAGAACUGUCUGCUGUGCCUGGGGAAGAAGAAAUAACAAGCUAAUUUAUCAAUGAGUUUAGGUGAGCGUCAAGAUCCAGUGCCACCAUGCCCGCUGCAGCCUGAAUCUUCCUGCUCCUGCCUCCAAGUGCCUUCUCAGUCCUGGGUCGUAUGUUACAACAUUUCAUUAAGUUAAUUGUAACUUAAUACAUCUUGCAGUGAGCAGGCUCCCAGCACACAAAAACAUAAUUGACUUGCAUGGACUCACUGCUAUGAUGAACCCUGAAUAAAGGGCAUGAAGUUCCUUCCUCUGAUCAGUCUCACCAAGCUUUUCUCAUCAUUUAACUAGGUCUCCUGCUACCACAGCUUGCAAGACUUGCAAGUCUUGCAAGUGCUGACCUUUCUCCAGGGAGCAGUCCAACCUUGGAAGUCACCACAUUUGGGGUUGCUCAUCCACACUCUGCAAUGCACCCCUUGCUCCCCAGUCUGCACUGAGAGCUGCUUGCCCUUCUCCCUGUUAGUCCUUUUCUUCUGGAAACAUAUCUUCAGGAAGCAGUGGUCUUUAUUGGGACUUCAGUGCAAGAAUGGGGGGGUCUGGGGCACUUCUGCAAGCUACAGUAAGGCAAACUUUCCCUUCCUGUUGUCUGCUCCCUGCAUGCCCACCAUCCCAAGUUAAGCACUGAUGCCAUCAGCAAUCAGAGCAGCGUCAAGAGCUGCAGCCUCACAUCCCAACAGAAAACCCUUUUGGAGUAGGACUUUAUUCAACCCUCACUAUGUUAUCUCUCUUUUGGUUUUGUUUUGCUUCUGUUAAGUCUUUGUGAUAGCAGGAACCCAGGUUCUUCUUUUAGGACAUUUCCUUCAUCCUCUUCCCCAUCUUUUUAAAAGUUUUUUUCUUGAGUCUCCAUUACAUCUACAGUUUUUAACUGUAAGAACCUUUCUCCACAUGAAGAGCUGUGAGUACUGAUUCCUGGUUCCUAAUACCACGUUGCCUACAUGGGGAGACACUGGUGCCUGCAGAGGCAGAGCUCACUGCACAGCUGGGCUUUGUGAUGGGUCCCAUGACGACCUACAGCAUGUGAUACCAAGGAUCUGUCUUCUCAGCAGUUUUCUUGGCUUUAUUCCAAAUCCUGGCUCAAGUUUGUGCUUCUCCAUGGACAACCAGCAAUCACUGCAUUAAGUUAUCGUCUUGUACCAUCUCUGGUUUCCAGCCUUUAAAAAAA